rnacentral:lncRNA from 1 species
ACUGAUUCCUGCGAUGAUUACAUCUGUGCCAGUGCUCCACUGAUGAGGGUUUUCCCUGCGUGUUAUCUGUUCGGCAAGGUAUCAUUAUUGCCAUUUUACAGAUAAGGAAACUGAGACUUCGGGGAUAAGGAACAGCCAGCUGAGCGGAGUAGCCGAGGCUCGUGCCAAAGUCCUUGCCUUGACCCGCCGUGGCGCUCACCUCCCUGAUCUGCGUGUGCCUGUCACCACGGCCCUCCUGGUUCUGGAACUUGUGCCUUCACCCAACAGAGCUGCAGCACGGGUAGGAGAAGACAGGAUCAGGAGGUGAGCUGUGCCUAGAAGGUCCUCGCCUUUUCCAGCACUUCGCUGGGGCCCGACUGGCCUUUACAGAUCAGAACGGCAGCAGGAGAGCGGCCAGCUGCCCUCUGCAGCCCCGAGAGACCGUCUUGCAGUUUCCUCGGGGCCGACGUGUAGACGGGAGGCCACUUCGGGAUCACGUGUGGGCCGCUGAGAAAGCACCAUGAGUCUUUUUCGGUUCCCGGGGCAGUAACCUGGGGGAGUGGGCUGUGGUGAGUGUGGGCCUGUAAUGGCGGGGAAUUGGAAUGGCAUCCUCCCUGGCUGCACCGUGUCUUGGCGCUUACUGUAUACACAGCACUACACGCUUACUGUGGUUAAAACUCUCGCUCUUCCACCCUGUGAGGUCAUGCUGUCCACGCUCGUCGCCCUGGACGAAGGGGAUGUGAGUCCAGCCCUGGCACCGGCUGUGCCUCGACCUCUCUAACUCGGGGUUGAGUGGCACUAGGCUGCUGGGAGCAACAAGGGGGAGGAUGCUGGGAAGUGUUGGCAAGCCGUGGAGGUCGGAGGUCAUAAGCCGAGGGGGGUCAGCCAAGGGGAGUUCUUGUUUUAUUUCCCAAUGUGAAAGAGGCGCCAAGCCCCACGAAACAAGCCCCUCCGUGACCGCUCAUCCUCUCCUCUGUCCUGUGGGCUGCCCCGUUCUAACCUCUAUUCCAGCUUCAUGGUUAAACAUCCCAGCAUCAAUUAUUUACAGUAUGUCCCAGUGAGUAUCAGGGUUUCAGGGGACAGAGUGACUCACACAGGGGAAGUUUGUUUUUAUGGAGGGGAAAUGACAUGAAGGAAAACAGGGAAUUCUACCUGCUGACCAAGAGACUGAGGUCAGCCUAGGGAGGGCUUCUGGCAGCCAGGGUGUG